AAUCAUUUUUCAUAUAAGCUCAUUAUGUGGAGAUCUCAUUAGGAAGAACUAAUUUUUGAGCAAAAGAAAGUCAUAAUUCAUUAGUAAGUAUAUUGUUUCUAUAGUAUAGACUGCAACAACAAUAUGUAGAUGAUGUGCAUGCUAAAAAUGAAUGAAUGCCUGCACCACCAUAAAAACAAAUGGUCCUUACAACUAAAUAGUUAAUGCAGAGAAAAUCAGCAUGUUAUGUAAAUGAGAUUCACCCUCUAAGCCAAUCCAACUGAUUACAUCUUACUAGUUUUGAAUAACAUAUAUCCCACGGUUAGCCUAGCUAGAUUUUAUUUUUUAUAAAGGUAGCAAUGUUGUUCGUUUCCUAGAGAGAAGAGUGCUUUCAAAAAUGUGGUGUAUGUACUCUGUUGAAUACACUUUUUGUUAAUGGGAGAAGGGAUUUUUCUUUAUUUUUCUCUUCUUCUACAUAAAGACCACUGUAUUUUUUCACUGUAGAGAAAGAUUUUAAAAAUGCAUAGCUUAGUGCAUUUGUAAUGCUAACAGAUGCAUAUCACACUUUUUUUCCUGUUACUAAAUAUGCACUACAUCUAACACAUUUAGUCUUCAAUCUCUAGAUACUUUGCUCCAGAUCAACAACAUUGAAAAAGUUGUUUAGAGAUUUGUUUUAAAGGGAAAUCUAAGGUUAGUUUUCAAGAAAAAGAGGUAACAGAUAAGGGUAGGGCUUGAAAAGGCUGAAGACUACCAACUGCAAAAAACGGUUAUUUCUUUUGCCCCUCAGCUCAUGUAUUAUACUGGAAGACUCUGGUAGAAGUACCACGUGGUAUAAUGUGGAUUGAUGCAUAAGCCAGAUCCUGAGAAAGGGGACCUCUGCUUGUAUGAUACUGAGAAAAUGUUUGAAGUGGUCUGCUGUCAACUUGCUCUGUUGGAUGAUAUCUCAAGACUCAGAAUUCAGUAACAUGCUUGACACAGGCAAGUAAACCCACUCUUCACAGCUCACUCUUGAAGAUAAACAACUACCAUGCUCAUAGAACACAG
rnacentral:lncRNA from 1 species